rnacentral:lncRNA from 1 species
GUCCAGCUGAAAUCAGUCAGAACAAAACCUACCUCAGGACUAAAUCAGAUGCUCCGUUGCUGCCGGACUCCAGCCAGGCCCCUCUGUCCUCCUGGUACAACUGCUGGGGAUGCAAGAAGCCCCUCUCAGGUGAGGAAGAAGAAAUGGAUUGGAAUUGCAGCAAGCCCCAAGGUUGAGGAGAAAAGCAUGGAUCCUCAGACUGCAUCAACGGUGUGUGACAACCUUGGGACUGAGAAAUGGAGAAUUUCCUCCAACACCUUCCCCUAG